UACGUAGGGUGCGAGCGUGUCCGGAAUUAUUGGGCGUAAAGAGCUUGUAGGCGGUUUGUCGCGUCUGCCGUGAAAAUUCGAGGCUCAACCUCGAACUUGCGGUGGGUACGGGGCAGACUAGAGUGCGGUAGGGGGAGAUUGGAAUUCCUGGUGUAGCGGUGGAAUGCGCAGAUAUCAGGAGGAACACCGGUGGCGAAGGCGGUUCUCUGGGCAUGUCCUGACGCUGAGGAGCGAAAGUGUGGGGGAGCGAACGG
rnacentral:rRNA from 1 species